rnacentral:rRNA from 1 species
GACGAACCGUACGAACGUUAUUCGGAAUCACUGGGCUUAAAGGGUGCGUAGGCGGCGCGACAAGUUGGGUGUGAAAUCCCUCGGCUCAACCGAGGAACUGCGCCCAAAACUGUCGUGCUCGAGGGAGACAGAGGUGAGCGGAACUUAGGGUGGAGCGGUGAAAUGCGUUGAUAUCGGGAGGAACACCAGUGGCGAAGGCGAUCACCUGGGGUUGUUCUGACGCUGAGGAGCGAAAGCUAGGGGAGCAAACGGG